rnacentral:rRNA from 1 species
AUUGAACGCUGGCGGCAUGCUUUACACAUGCAAGUCGAACGGUAACGCGGGGCAACCUGGCGACGAGUGGCGAACGGGUGAGUAAUGCAUCGGAACGUGCCCGGUAGUGGGGGAUAACUGCUCGAAAGAGCAGCUAAUACCGCAUACGACCUGAGGGUGAAAGGGGGGGAUCGCAAGACCUCUCGCUAUUGGAGCGGCCGAUGUCGGAUUAGCUAGUUGGUGGGGUAAGGGCCCACCAAGGCGACGAUCCGUAGCUGGUCUGAGAGGACGACCAGCCACACUGGGACUGAGACACGGCCCAGACUCCUACGGGAGGCAGCAGUGGGGAAUUUUGGACAAUGGACGCAAGUCUGAUCCAGCCAUGCCGUGUGCGGGAAGAAGGCCUUCGGGUUGUAAACCGCUUUUGUCAGAGAAGAAAUCUUCUGGGUUAAUACCUCGGGAGGAUGACGGUAUCUGAAGAAUAAGCACCGGCUAACUACGUGCCAGCCGCCGCGGUAACAC